GUCUUGUUUUUUAUAACUCCAGAGUAAACCUUUGCUACGAACAGUACCUUCUUUUCUCCCCAUUUCUACUGCUGCUUCACCAUCACCAUGAGCGAGGAAGAAGACUUCGUUGUAUCGAAAUGGAAUACAAGGUGGAACCCAUCAUCCAUAUUUGGAUUGAAGUUUCGACCACGGUAUAGAGCACGAGCGGAGCUUGCAGCAGUAAGCCGGGCAGAGCUUACAGCAGGCUUUAACGCGUCGAAAGUUAGUAUCUUGUUGUUUAUAAUAUGUGUAUCACGGGGGUGUUGGGGUAGUUAAAUGCAAACAUGCAUGCAUGUUUUCUUGUUGUUCUUUUGUGGAUGUCACCCAUAUUUUUUUGAUGUGUAUAAUGGAUGUUUAUUUUGAAACUAAAUGACGUGUUUGCAUUAAGUGUGUAAAGUUUUAAAAGUUUGCCCAGAUUUCGGUAUAUGCAGAACCUUCUAUGGAACCUAUAUUUUGGGGCAUUAAUGUACUUACAUGCCUUAGUAUAUGUAAACUUCUUUCCUUUGAAAACUGUUUUCUUCUCAA